rnacentral:rRNA from 1 species
AGCAGCCGCGGUAAUUCCAGCUCCAAUAGCGUAUAUUAAAGUUGUUGCAGUUAAAAAGCUCGUAGUUGAAUUUCGGGAUCAAAUUGUCGGUCGUGCCUCGGUACGUACUGGCGUUAUUGGUUCCUCCCUUCUGAAGAACCGCGAUGUCAUUAAUUUGGUGUCGCGGGGAAUCAGGACUGUUACUUUGAAAAAAUUAGAGUGUUUAAAGCAGGCUCGCGCUUGAAUACAUUAGCAUGGAAUAAUGAAAUAGGACGUUUGAUUCUAUUUUGUUGGUUUCUAGGAUCGACGUAAUGAUUAAUAGGGAUAGUUGGGGGCAUUAGUAUUCAAUUGUCAGAGGUGAAAUUCUUGGAUUUAUUGAAGACUAACUACUGCGAAAGCAUUUGCCAAGGAUGUUUUCAUUAAUCAAGAACGAAAGUUAGGGGAUCGAAGACGAUCAGAUACCGUCGUAGUCUUAACCAUAAACUAUGCCGACUAGGGAUCGGAUGAUGUUAAUUUUUAAUGACUCAUUCGGCGCCUUACG